rnacentral:rRNA from 1 species
CCUACGGGAGGCAGCAGUGAGGAAUAUUGGUCAAUGGCCGGAAGGCUGAACCAGCCAUGCCGCGUGAAGGGCAGGGGCCUAGGGGCGUUAAACUUCUUUUGGGCGGGAGCAAGAAUGGGCACGUGUGGCCAGACGAGAGUACCGUACGAAUAAGCAGCGGCUAACUCCGGGCCAGCAGCCGCGGUAAUACGGGGGAUGCAAGCGUUCUCCGGAUUGCUGGGGUUUAAAGGGGGCGUAGGCUGUGAGGUAAGGCAGCGGUGAAAGGCCCCCGCUCAACGGGGUGAAGUGCCAUUGAUACUGCCUUGCUGGACUGCGGCUGCCGUGGGAGGACUGUGUGUUGUAGCGG